GCCCGGGUGCUGGAACUGGUAGACAGGAUGGUCUCAAAAACCAUUGGAGGUAACUCCGUGUGGGUUCGAUUCCCUCCCCGGGCA
rnacentral:tRNA from 1 species